rnacentral:rRNA from 1 species
UACGAAGGGGCUAGCGUUGCUCGGAAUUACUGGGCGUAAAGCGCACGUAGGCGGUCUUUUAAGUCGGGGGUGAAAUCCUGGAGCUCAACUCCAGAACUGCCUUCGAUACUGGAAGACUUGAGUCCGGGAGAGGUGGAGUGGAACUGCGAGUGUAGAGGUGAAAUUCGUAGAUAUUCGCAAGAACACCAGUGGCGAAGGCGGCUCACUGGCCCGGUACUGACGCUGAGGUGCGAAAGCGUGGGAGCAAACAGG